GAUGAAGAACGUAGCGAAACGCGAUAUGUAAUGUGAAUUGCAGAUUUCAGUGAAUCAUCGAAUCUUUGAACGCACAUGGCGCCUUCCAGUAUCCUGGGAGGCAUGCCUGUCCGAGCGUCGUUUCAACCCUCGAGCCCCCGUGGCCCGGCGUUGGGGAUCUGCCCAGGCAGUCCCCGAAAACCAGUGGCGGACCCGUUACAGGCCCUUCCCUUGCGUAGUAGCAUUCGCCUCGCAUCGGGAGCCGGCGGGCUUCCAGCCUCUAAACCCCCAUCAAGUCCGCCCCGGCGGCACCAAGGUUGACCUCGGAUCAGGUAGGAAUACCCGCUGAACUUAAGCAUAUCAAUAAGCGGAGGA
rnacentral:misc_RNA from 1 species